rnacentral:lncRNA from 1 species
CUUGUUAAAAGGGUUUUUGGCUGCAUGCUUCCGGGCCGUAUUGAAACUAUCGACUUGCCUCAACAUCAGGCAAGCGGAUCUAAAGGCAACCUCAGUACUGCCUUAACCUUGAGAGCUUUUGAAAAGAACAUGGAAAUCAUCUGGCAAAAGACUCAGGUUGUGAGAAACGUUCCUGAUCGUAAGGUCCUACCUGCAGCGAAGAAAGUCAAAAUCCUGAGGACCAGCCUAAAGCAUAACGUUAUCAACAUCAGGCAAGCAGAUAGUUUCAGUACGGCCUGGGGGUGUGCAGCCAGGGGCCUUUAGUGGGUUUUGACCUUGAGAGCCC